UUAGAACCUCUGCAAGGAAAACAAGACCAGGAAGAGAAAGUAGAUUACUGCAGUCAGGGUGAAGAACAGAUUGAAUUAAAACAGGAGACUGAUACCUGCAUGUUGGUUCCUGUUGGUGAGCAAACACACCAAACUGAAUCAGAACCAAACAGGAACCAAGUCAUCUUAACGGAAGCUGCUGAAGCUGAGAAGCAAAAUCAGGAAAAAAGAAAACCUUUCUCAUGUGUCAUCUGUAAAAAGCGUUUCGUUUUAAAAUCUGUUUUUGAUGCUCACAUGAGAACUCAUACAGUUCAAAACCUGUUUUCAUGUGUGAACUGUGGAAUAAGUUUUAGUCGAAAACAGAAUUUAACUCAGCACAUGAUGAUUCACACUGGUGAAAAGCCGUUUUCAUGUGGGAGCUGUGGAAAAAGUUUUAGU